CUGUGAAAAUCCCACCCUUAAUGACUGCACCUUCAUCUUUAGUGCUUCUGCUGGAAGCAAAGCUUUUUUCCUAAGCAGAGGUGUGACUCUCACUGCUGUGACUGCCAGAGAAGGAAAGCCUUUUAAUUGAAGCAUUACACCUGAAUGACUGUUAUCCCUGCAGGAAAAAAAGGAAAAAUUAAAAAUCCCCACAACUUAUGGGACCAACAAAUAACUAAUGAGUCUGUCUACGAAGGAGCAGCAAGAAAAGCAUGUCACCUUGUCUUGUUUGGUUUGGCAGAGCUGGGACGCUCUUAAGAGAUGAAGCUGCUCCAACUUGCCUCCCCUUCUUCCAGAGCUGUGCAGCCUCUGCUGCCAAAAGCACUCUUCCUUCGCAGCACACGCGGCAGGUGACAGCUUAGUGAUGACCUGAAAGAACACAAAAGAUCCUCACUGAUUACCUUUGCAAGCGACACAAGACUGGAAGAACUAAAGAUUAUGAAGAGGCCAGCAGCAGAGAGCUUUCUGCCUGGAUUGAUAAGUGGAAAUGUUGGGCUGGAUUUAGACCCCGUAGCCCCUGGCACAGAUCACCCGGAGCUCGCUGGCGAUGAUGGCUGGUAUUAGAUGCUGGCAUCCCCUGCUGGUGCAGCUGGCGGUUAUCAGCGUUCCCUGCCUGGCGAACUCUUGCUGUGGGCAGUCUGCUGUCAUCCAAGCCUGCUCUAGUCUCUGGUCUGGAGGGCUGCGGGGUGAGCACCCACAGCAGUAAGCUUAUUGUCCCCCUGGGAGCUGUUCUUGAGGUCGCUUCUGUGGCCACGACGCUAGAAAGGUGUCGCAGCUCUUCUGGAGCGGAGAAGAGAGGGUCUUGUAAUGAAGGGACUCUGAGGAGCAGGGGCUGAAAGAAGACAUCAGGCAGCACAACAUUCCUAACGAAAUCAGGCAGGUUGGCAGUGCUGUUUGCUGAAGCUGGGAAAGCCCGUGUGGUUUCUGUUACAAGAAAAAAAAGAGCCUGCUCAGCCUUACUCAGGCUGGGGUAAAAAUGGUUAUCUUUUUCCACUUGCUGUCUUUUGUCUUUGUGUACGGGUGAUGGCUUUCCUUGGAGGAAUUCUUGUUCCACCCCCAUUUUGGCACGCUGCUGAGCGUGAUUUGCUCCCCAUUGGCGAUGCGUGUGCUCCUGGAGCUGGCUGUGCAUUAGCCCUCAUCAAGGAGGAGGGAAUUGGUUUAAUUCCACCAGCAAGGGAGGUAUAGUGCGCAUCUGACUGCAGUUUGGUGUUUUUCUUGAAAUGAGUGCCUGCUUUCCUAUUGCUUUACCUGCCCAUCAGAUAGGAUCUGCCAAGCCUGGACUUGAUGCAUUGUUCUCCUGACAAUAUAGUCAAUUCUGCAGCUAAUGCACGCGUAAGAUGAAAGCUGAACAUAAACACCUCUGCCAGCUACAGUAUACAUUUUAGUGCUCUGCCAGCUACCAAGGGACCGUACUUUAGAGUAUUCAAGUCAGGAGUUGUAGGAGUUGCCACAAUAUUUCUCAGUGCCAAGGGUCAGGUCUUUUAAUCUUCCACGAUAAUAAAACUACGUUUGCCCUCAGGAGAACAAAGGGACGUAGUUUUGCCCCAGUAAACAUGCUUUUAAACAGUGGAGUUCAGCUCAUUGUGGGCACCUGAAUGUGCAGCAAGCGAAGAAAUUAAAAUUUUAAUAUAUAUUGUUAAAUCAACAUGAAUGAAGAAGAAAACAAAAGCAGGCAAAAAUGAAGUAACUAUCAAAUGGGAAGUACUUAAGGCAAGACUUAUAAGAUGUUUCAAAGCAUGAAUUGUAAUAUGUGUUUAAAAUAGGACUGUUCCUUUAUUCUCAGCAUGUGGGUUACACUUUGAAUAUGGAACAAGAAUUUAGCCUUUUUUAGAAGCUGCAUUCUUAACAAAUUAUUCUUAAAAUGAAACUGUUUAAUGAAACCGCUUUUUAAGUGCUGUGUAAAACCAUGCAUUAUUAACAGGACACCAUACAUAAUACAAUAUAACCCUCUGCAAGGUAACAAUAGUUCCUCUAACUCAUUCAUACCCAGUUUUGAACUUUACCACUUUUACCUGGGAAUAUAACGGGCUGGGCAUUGUCUUUGCUGGAGAUCAGUGACAAGUAUAAAGCACAGUGAUACUGGCACAGCCUCAGCUCUGGGAAGUUCGUGGUGUUUUGCAGAAAGCAGGUGGGCGAGCAAGGCGUACACUGCAGGGCAGAUUGCACAGCUGUAAGAUCCGGAAUUCCCCUCAAAAGGAUCGGCAUGUCUUUGAAAAUGAAUUCAUCACCGAAAUAAAAGAGAUUUCUGAUGCAGAGGGAGAAAAUGGGGUUUGAUCAGUUUCAAAUGAACUUUUUUUUUGCGUUUGUUUUGCCUCCAUCUCCCUCUUUUUUUUUUUUUUUUUCCCCUUUCUCAUUCUCUUUUCCCCCAAAAUUCAUUUCCAAGAUCUAAUAAAGGGGAUGUUUUCAUCUUUAAAAGGUUGUAUGAGACUGUUGCAAGAAAUUCUUUUGUGCAACCUGCUUUUCUAUAAAAAACACUGGGAGCUGAAUGCAUCUGGAUCAUUAGAUUCAGGAAACACCGUGUUUUCUCAGUAUCUAUGAAAUGCAUUCAUCGAUUAUUUUUUCAUCAGAAUGCUUGCAAUAGAUCUCUGUGACUAUUUUUCACUGUAUGUUUUUGUGGAUGGUGACAACGUGCUGCCCAAAUUAGGAAGAAUGGCUGCAUGGCAUUUAAUGCUCAAGCAGUUUGUAAGGGACUUGCAGGUUUGCAAUCCCUACCAGGAUUUCUCACUAUGUAAGUGCUAUGUGCUAUUCUGAACUGCUAAUUCACUAGCUGCAUGAAUGAAUAUACUGACAUUUUACAGAAGUGUUAUGGCUUUCUACCCUCAGAAACUACUGUAAAUGGUACAUAGUGAUGUUAGGCUACGUGGAAACCAAUGAGCUGCCAAAUGCUUCCAGAAGUUCCCGUUUUAUUUUGUGAUAUCAGUGCCUUCUCUGCUCUUGCUGAUCAGUGUGAAUAGUUUCUGGCAGUGAAAGUCAGCCAGAAAAAAAAUAUAUUUCGCUUUUGCAUCUGAUAAAAAUUUUAUUGCCAUAUCUAGCUCCAAAUAAAACUCCUACUCUUUCAGCAAUUCCUGAAAAACACAAAUUAAUUUGGGUUUGAAUAAUACCCCCAAACUAUUAGAGCUGCCAACUGAACAGGGAACAGAUAAUUAGGAGAUGACAACAGACAGCACAAAGCCAAGAGAGGAAAAACUGGAACACAGCUAGAGAGCAACACUGGCCAUCUAAUCCAUUAACGGCCUCCUAUAAUUAUGUUUUGCUUUUGCAUUAAACUGGUAUAAACACAAAAAGACGUUAGUGAUGUUUUAAUCUCCAGGAAAAGAAAUCUCCUCUUGCCUAACAGCACGCAGCACACACAGAAAUAUGACUUCAAUUAGCACUACUGUAAAUUUUAAUUUAGCACUUGGUAGGAGCAUUCAGCAAUGUAUAUCUGAAAUAGGGGCUGAUGCUCCACUGAGGAUGUUCCGCACUGUCAUCCCAUCCAUCCCUCGAUUCAUAUUUGUGGGGUGAGCAGGAGGGGGAGGAUUUAGGAAUUUAGAGCUGGUGGAAAAUGCCAGAGGAUUGUUUCCCCAGGCCUUCUGCACCCAUUUCUUGAGCUGGUUUUUGGCCAUUACCAAGGUGUCCUGUCUGGCUGCUGGGUGAUGCUGCUGGCAGCAGUGCAGGCUCCCUCCUGCUGCCCACCCCAGGGAGUGGAAAGCACCUACGAGCAACCCAGCAUCCAAUUUCCAGUGGCUGCCAUAUAAUGCCCUUGAAGUUCGAUUUUGUCCGGUGAUUUUGUUUUGCUCCAAGCAUGACAGGUGUCCACUGUGAUUGGCACUGUUCAAAGAUUAUUUGCAAGUUCCCCAGCUAAGCUUUGGUAUUCAGCUCCACCAUGGUGCACCGCCUUCUUUUUUUUUGGUACGGGAAUAUCUUGUGUGAGUGGCACACAGGUUUGCUCUACUAGUCAGCUACAACACCGGAGCUUGGGUUAGCACAUUAGAGCACCAAGAAUUUAUGUUUGUUGCGGUUUAAAGUUAUUCCCUGGUGGCAGUGCUUAUUUGUGUUUAAACUGCAGAUGCCCGUGUUUAUACAAUUUACAUUGUUUAAAAUGUCACUAUUAUUUGUUUAAAAAAAAAAUUCUGCUAGGUUUGGCACAGUGUAUCCUGUAAUUUAUUGUACAGCCCUGUGCUAUGCCAUUUUAGUGAGAAUCUUGAAACAGGGCCCUAUGUUUUUUUUCCCCUUUUGCUGUUUGUUCUGCUCUUUAAUUACAUUCAUAUCAGCUACUUUGAAGUUAAUGAGACUGUUGGGAUAUGUAAAAGAGAAUCCUGUAUUGAUUUCAGUCCUAAUAUCUUAUCUUUGCAUCUUUCCCUUCCUGCAUGUAAUGUGUUCUGACUGAGUCACAUUUGCUCACAUGUUGUGAUGGGUUUAAUAGCUUUGGCCUGACAUAGGGCUUUAUCAUACAAUCCAAAAGGAAAAGGAAAUAAAUAAACACAAAAUGCA